ensembl:snRNA U6 U6 spliceosomal RNA
AUACAUCUACUUUAUACCCACAAAAAUUCUUUUAAAAAAAGAUCAGCAUGGCCCCUGAACAAGGAUGACAGGCAAAUUCAUGAAGUGUUUCAUAUUUUA